ensembl:lncRNA
CAUCUAUACACAGAAAUAAUUUUUUUAUAUAGUUUUUUUUUUUUUUUAAAGAACUUUAUAUUUGAAGAGGUGCGGCACGGUGGUGCGGUGGGUGGCGCUGUCACCUCACAGCAAGGAGGGCUCGAUUCUCUGGCUGAGUGACCGGGGUCCUCUAUGUGUGGAGUUUGCAUGUUCUCCCCAUGUCUUCGUGGGGUUCUUCCGGGUUCUCCGGUUUCCUCCCAGAGUCCAAAGACACUUUCAUCUGGAUUCAGAAAUUCCAGAAAUUCCACAAAAAAUCCCUUCUCGUCUGAGCGCACAAGAUGGCAGACAGCAAAGUCUUCCAGCUUUCUGCCUCCAGUGAAAGGUGGGAAAUCACCAAAUCAGCCCAUGAAAGCGUGAACCAGCAUUGGAAACAGUGACGAAACCAAGUUCUGACUGGUGCCCACACACUGUGAUGGAGAGAAGAUCGUGAUGUAUGUAAGUUUACAGUUUGUCACAUUUCAGCUGAGUAGGAAUUGGCUCUGAAGGUCCUCACUAAAAGUUGUUACAGGCAACCUAUUUUCAGCUGUACAUUAUGUGUGUGUGUGUGUGUGUGUGUGUGUGUGUGUGUGUGUGUGUGUGUGUGUGUAUAUAUAUAUAUAUAUAUCUUAAAAAUAUAUUCUCCAGCAACGCCUUCUCCACAGAACAGACGAGUUGUUGUGUUUGGCAGGAUUUUAUGUAGGAAAAUAUGCAAUUUGUGGAAGGAUUAAGAGGACUCCAACCCUGAGAUGCUCACUAUGUGUCCGUGAAGGAAAAUGAGCUCCUGAAUGCUACUUCUUGUUUUUUCUGAACGUUCUCUAUUAGCUCACAUCCUCUUCUGUCCAGCUUCAUGCAAUCACCACUAGAUGCCAUUAAAGAGCCUACGAAAGAAACACUAUGCUGAAUCCAAUACAGAAGGGGUUUCUGAUGAGCAGAAACUGGUUCUGAAUGGGUUUCUGAUGAGCAGAAACUGGUUCUGAGUGAGUCUCUGUUUACACAGAUGUUUUGAGAAAGUUUAACAGACCUUCAGCAUGACAGCUUCAGAGGAUCCGAAGAGAAGUUGGGUCUCCAGGGCUCGCAUCCGGAGCAGCCUCUCCAAUUUGGGGAAUUUCGCCAGACACAGGUAGGAGAUGUGGUACAGCAGGGAGACCUGCUGAGACGAUGGGAGGAGCUCCUCAAUGAACCCUGAGCUCCAUACAGAGGUGGCUGGCACAACCUCUGUGAUUUCCACAAAAUGAAUGUAAAUAAUUUCACUAUAAAGUUGGUUAAACAAGCAUUAAUUUGUGGUUGGAUACAUCAAAUGACUGGUAUUGUUUUACUUACAACCUGAGGAAGAAGCAGCUUAGAGUGUGUGUGUGUGUGUGUGUGUGUGUGACUUGCCUUUGCUGUUAGCCAUUGUGUUUAAAGUCAGGGGGGUUCUGUGUUUUCCUAAAGAUCAAUAAAAAUAUUUUACAGCAGUGCUUAGAAACGCAUUGUUCACUAAAUAUAAGUUUUGAAAGUGAAUAAAUAAAACAGAGAGGAUCUUACCUGUAGAGCUGUGUGGACUGCGCUUCUUACAGAUGUUCAGUGCAGUUUCGUUUUUAUAUGUAAUGACACCGAAAGAAAGGGCCAGGUAAAGACCAAAAGAUGAGGCUGUCCAAGGGUUUGACAAGAAGCGUGGUCAGUAAACAGGCGUGGUCCAGAUCCAAUCAGCAAAAAGGUACAGAAUGGCAACCGUAACCAGGUGGGGUUAGGAGGGCAAAGACAAAAGGGGAAAACCAGAAAUCCAGAAAAUCAGUCCAAACACGAAAAAGGCAACCACACAAACGCACACUGGAGAAGUUUGCCCUGAACGAGGACUUGAUGACUGCAGUAGUUCUACAAGAGAAGCAGUACUUCAGGAGUGCUGAUUGGAGAACGAGGGGAGAGCAGGUGACCUCUCAGAGGAUUCUAGCUGGAGGGAUGUGUAACAUUAUACUUUAAAUGGCCCACCUGAUUUGAGAAAUAUGUGAAUAUCCGCACAUGCUUGAGACCAUCUGAACCAAAUAAAUUAAUCUUGGUCUCAUCAGACCAUAGGACGUGGUUCCAGUAAUCCAUGUCCUUUGUUGACGUCUUCAGCAACUGUUUGCGGGCUUUCUUGUGUACGGACUUCAGAAGAGGCUUCCUUCCGGGGUGACAGCCAUGCAGACCAAUUUGAUGUAGUGUGCGGCGUAUGGUCUGAGGACUGACAGGCAGACCCCCCACCUCUUCAAUCUCUGCAUCUAUCUUUCAAAGACAACAUUUGGAUGUGACGCUGAGCACGUGCACUCAGCUUCUUUGGACGACCAACACGAGGUCUGUUCUGAGUGGACCCUGCUCUUUUAAAUCGCUGGAUGAUCUUGGCCACUCUGCUGCAGCUCAGUUUCAGGGUGUUGGCAAUCUUCUUGUAGCCUUGGCCAUCUUCAUGUAGCGCAACAAUUCGUCUUUUAAGAUCCUCAGAGAGUUCUUUGCCACGAGGUGCUAUGCUGGAACUUUCAGUGACCAGUAUGAGAGAGUGUGAGAGCUUUACUACAGAUUUGAACUCACCUGCUCCCUAUGCACACCUGAGACCUACGAGUCACGUGACAUUUUGGAGGGAAAAUGACAAGCAGUGCUCAAUUUGGAUAUUUAGGGGUGUCUGUCUCUUAGGGGUGUACUCACUUUUGUUACUGGUGGUUUAGACAUUAAUGGCUGUAUAUUGAGCUGUCUUGAGGGAAGAAUAAGUUUACACUAUUAUAUAUAAUAUAUAACAUAUAAGCUGCACACAGACAACUUUUCACUGUGUCAAAGUGUCAUUUUGUCAGUGUUGUCCCAUGAAAAGAUAAACUCAAAUAUCUGCAGAAAUGUGAGGGGUGUACUCACUUUUGUGAUACACUGUACACAGAUCAGUCCAAACAAGCAACAGUACAAGAGGGCUAGGCAAGAGUCGAAAACUAGAUAAACAUGGCAAAAGGGUCAAAAGACAGGGAAUGCAAACAGGACAGAAUGUAAACACUCAAUGAUCGCAUAGCAGUACCUCUCAAUGUGCCUAUCUGAAGCCUGGGCUUAAAUACUCUAAACAGACUAAUGAGUACAGGUGUAGUGAGUCAGUAAUCUGGGGACUGAGAUCGCUGAUAGGACCGUUGGGAAAACGUGAUUUUCCAUGGAUUCUUGGGAGUUAGAGUUCUCUAAGAUGGGGUCUGCAGGCACAAGAUCCGUCAUGAACUCCCAGAGCAUUCUGGGAGAUGAAGUCUGUUUCUUUGUCCAAGACGGCCGAAUGCGUGACACCAGCACAGUGUACAGAUUCUCCUCAUUAAAACGGUCAAUUCCCAUAUAGAAGAAUUGGUUCAUAUAGCCUUUGACCAGAUGCUGUGGGAACAAAGUUUAACAGAGCGAGAGAGACCCUCUCACCGUUGUUAUACCCCUUCAACUGAAAUAACCCGUCCCAAUCGGUGACCUGCUUGUGCCUGUUGCCUGUUCCUGUUCAAACCUAUUUAACAAGUAGUCACAUCUGCCAAGUUCA